ACAAAAAAACACAAACUCAUCCCAAGACACACCAAAACAACCCAUGCUUACCUGACAGUUCUGCAGCACCCAGGAUGGGGACCUUCCUCCUGGCACACCAGCUGCACCGCAAUCCAAGGGAAGACAACAGCCCUGGAAGACUGAAACAACUCCAGCACCACCAGUGGGCCUGCCACACACCUUCAGGAAUAAAACCAAAACACACCAACACCCAGUCCCAGCCCUGAGACAGCACAGCUCACCUCACUCCACAGAGCCCCUGCAGUCACAUCAGUAGGACACCCACCCUGAACCUGCAGGAAGAACUCAAACACAUUCUUGAAGGGCCACCAGGUAGGCAGGUCAGACAGCUCACAUCCUUCCUCAGGCUGAUCCUCAAUGCUCCACUGUGGCGCUCACCCUGUGAACAGAUCAUGCAGCCUCCCUACAUAGCAUAUCACCCACAAAAACAGCCAGGUGCAACUUAAAUCCCCAGGGAAGGGGACCCCACAGCCUAUUCCAUCACCCUCACAGUGAAACCCAUCUUCCCUCUGUUUCUAUAGAACCACCAGUGUUCCAGCCUGUGAACAUUACCCCCAUUCUACCACCACAUACCUUCCAUCUGUGCCUGCACAAGCCCACUCCCAUCAACUCCACACUUAGAUAUUUACUGACAGGAGUGAUAUUCCACCCCACAACAUCCACUGCCCUUCUCUCAUCCAACCAGACAGUCACAACACAGAAAGCUACCAGGUCUCCUGCCUUUCCUGCUCCAUUUCUUACUCUCAGGCAUGCACCCUACUGAGCACAGAAGCAGUAAUGCAUGAAUCAAGAACCACUAGCAGGACCCCUUCUGAUGCUGCAACCCAACAGAUACCUCCAGGCAGAUCCUUUAAGAGGACAAAGUUGCUCCCUCAAAGUCUGGUGUUUCAAACCUACUUAUUGCUUUGCAUCUUCUGACUGAGAUUCCAAACUCCACCAUCUCACAGCUGUUGCGCUUCAGGUCCCCUCGGUCUUUGCAUCCCCAGUCAGUCCUUCCUCAAUACAGAGUAAGAGCUCCGCCAGCAUUUCUCUCCUCAUUGGCUCCUCCUUCACCUGUGUCAGAAACUUUGAUACCUGCAGGAGCCUCCUGGAAUGAGAUACACCUGACAGCAUUGCCUUAUCAACAACUGGCAGGGUGCUUCGAGUAUACUGUGAAAACUAAUGCCUGCAACCUUGAGGUUACUUUUAGCUGUGUGCAGGAAGUCUUAUCAGCUUCCUCAUCUGUAACCAACACCCCCAGUGACAUUACCCACAUUUACUGUCUCCUGAGCCUCGCACGCCAGCACUCCCCUGGUUCUUCAUGCAUCCCUAGGCACAGCUCAAUGCAUUCCAGUUCUCUCAGUGGAAGUGCAACUCUGCCACCUCUCACCUGUCUGUCUCUCCUGAAGAGAACAGAACAUCCACAACAGCAUUCGAGUCACGCAAGCCAUUCCGCUGCAUCUCCACGAUGGGAACGAGAUCACGCUCCUGAAAUUACAAAUAAGGGGGGGUGGGGGAAGAAAUACAAUCCCGUCCUGCUCACCCCCACCGCUAGACGCGGGAGAGGCCGAAGCACCCGCAAAACCCUUCUGGAGGGUCGGGGUCGCUCUCAGCGGUUCGGCAGCGGCCCCGCACCGGCCCCUUCUAAAAAGCCACGUGGGAGCCGAGCGGCGGCCCUACGCGAGCCUCAGGAAGAGCGAACUUACCUAGGGACUCCAAAACACUCACCGGUUCGGACUGACGAGAGGCUCCGCUGCAGCCUUCGCUCAGCCUGCAAUAGGAGAAAACUUGUUUCAGCAGCCCUUUGCGUUGCUUCUUACUCCCAGCAGCACCGAGACUGGGGGGAAAUACGACCCCAUCCCGCUCGCUCCCAAUGAUGAGAGCGGGAGGAACUGAAGACCCCGCUCUAAAGCCCCGGGCUGCCCUGGGACUGGGGGAACCGAGCGGCAGCCCCCUCCGAAAACGCGACGGCGGCGCUACGAAGGCUCCGAGAAGCCGGGGCAGCCCGGCGGUAGCCCCGCGCCGGCCCCGAACGCGG
ensembl:lncRNA